UGGUGGCGAGUGGCGAACGGGUGAGUAAUACAUCGGAACAUGUCCUGUAGUGGGGGAUAGCCCGGCGAAAGCCGGAUUAAUACCGCAUACGAUCCAUGGAUGAAAGCGGGGGACCUUCGGGCCUCGCGCUAUAGGGUUGGCCGAUGGCUGAUUAGCUAGUUGGUGGGGUAAAGGCCUACCAAGGCGACGAUCAGUAGCUGGUCUGAGAGGACGACCAGCCACACUGGGACUGAGACACGGCCCAGACUCCUACGGGAGGCAGCAGUGGGGAAUUUUGGACAAUGGGCGAAAGCCUGAUCCAGCAAUGCCGCGUGUGUGAAGAAGGCCUUCGGGUUGUAAAGCACUUUUGUCCGGAAAGAAAUCCUUGGCUCUAAUACAGCCGGGGGAUGACGGUACCGGAAGAAUAAGCACCGGCUAACUACGUGCCAGCAGCCGCGGUAAUACGUAGGGUGCGAGCGUUAAUCGGAAUUACUGGGCGUAAAGCGUGCGCAGGCGGUUUGCUAAGACCGAUGUGAAAUCCCCGGGCUCAACCUGGGAACUGCAUUGGUGACUGGCAGGCUAGAGUAUGGCAGAGGGGGGUAGAAUUCCACGUGUAGCAGUGAAAUGCGUAGAGAUGUGGAGGAAUACCGAUGGCGAAGGCAGCCCCCUGGGCCAAUACUGACGCUCAUGCACGAAAGCGUGGGGAGCAAACAGGAUUAGA
rnacentral:rRNA from 1 species